AAUGAGAUCUUGACCAGUUGGAGUGGCACUGCUGAUAGAGUUGCUGCCUCACAGCUCCAGAGACGCAGCUUCAAUGUUGAUCUCUAGUACUGUCUGUGGGGGAGUGUGCACAUUCUCUCCAGAUACACCAGUACUUGCCACAUCCCAAAGACAUGUUGCUUGGUCGGUUACUUGGUGACCGUAAAUUACCUCUACUGUCUAUGAACAGGAGGAGAAUCGGGAGUUGACAAGCAUGUGGGAGGAAAUAGAUUACGGAGAAUGGGAUUGAUGGAAUUGCUCUAAGAGCUAAUAGAGACUUGAUGGGCCAAAUGGCCUUCUUCUCUGUUUAAAGGAAUUAUGAAACAUAAUAUCAAGAAGCAAUCUAUCUACACUAAGCCAUCUGAAACUCUCUACUCCAAGUGGCUGUAAAUACUGGCACAACUGGAGCUUUAGAGUCUGAUAUUAACGUAUUUUGUUCCGUAGGAUAGCAAAGGAUAUGGAAUCAAACAGUUAAAUGGAAUUGAGAUAAAGAUCAUCCAGAUGCUGAUCGAGUGGACUUGCCAUCAUUUGAAUGAGAUCACAGACAUGGUUAUUCAAACAAAAGUGAAGCAUCCCAUGACACUUAUCCCAUGAAAAGAACUUCAGAGCCGAGCUGCUAAACUGUUUGGGAUGGAGGCUGCUCUGUUUGUACCCACUGGAACGAUGGGGAACCUGAUUUCAGUUAUGUGUCAUUGCCGGGAGAGGGGAGCAGAGCUCAUUGUUGGUGAUCAGGCACACAUCCAUCUCUUUGAACAAGGAGGCAGCGCACAGAUUGCAGGAAUUUAUUCAAGUGUUAUAAAGAAUCUUCCAGAUGGGACUUUUGAUCUGAAUGAAGUGGAAGCAAACAUACGCCGUGAUUACCCCGACCCACACAUCACCCGGACUAGUCUUAUUUGUCUGGAGAACACCCAGAAUGUGAAAGGAGGGCGAGUCCUACCACUUUCCUUUCUCCAAGAGGUACGAGACCUGGCUGACACCUAUAGUCUGCCAAUCCACAUGGAUGGAGCCCGUCUGAUGAACGCAGCCAUUGCUCUGGGUGUCCAAGCCUCUGAGAUCCUCCAGCACUGUGACUCCGUGUGCAUGUGCCUGUCCAAGGGUCUAGGAGCUCCAGUUGGCUCCAUCAUUGGUGGGCGCAAGGAUUUCAUUGAGCAGGCUCUGCGACUGCGUAAGGUGCUUGGCGGAGGCAUGAGGCAGGCGGGGGUGCUGGCUGCAGCCGGGCUCAUCUCCAUAUCAGACAUGGUGGAAAGGCUCGAGGAAGACCACAGAAACACCAGGAAAUUUGCUCAAGGUAUUAAGAUGUACGCCACACCCUUCUGUGAGGUUGAUGUCGACGCCGUGGAGACAAAUAUCCUACUGUUUACAAUCAACAACUCCAGGAUCUCGCCCGAGGAGUUCUGCAACAAGAUGGCGGAAGUGACCGAGGAGGAAGUAUCUGUGAUGGGACACGGUGUGCAAGUGCUAAUGCUCCCAAUCCAUGGACACACACUGCGUGCUGUGUGGCACCUGGAUGUUUCAGAGGAGGACACCAACCUGGCCUUGGGGAAACUGCAGUUUGUGAUCAGGAAACUGGAGCAACAGUAAACCCAACCUGCCACACUUCGUGUGCUCCGUCUAUGGGAAUGAGUGCAAUAUCUUAGUUCUAGUCAUGGAGUCUGGCACAGUGUACAACGGCAGCUGUUGCUGAGGAUUGCAGUGUAAAAUGAACAAGACUGCAAUUUCUGUGCAAAAGCUGGAUCAUAUUAAAAUGUAUACCUCCUGCCCCAUCUGUGGAAGAGUCAGCGGAUCCCACCUGGGUCUCAUCAGUCACAUCAGAACCCAUAAAGCCAGAGUGGAAGUAAGUUAUCUUCAAUCCUGAGGGAAUGCCGAGGGAGAAGUUGGCCCCAGGUAAUAAUUUAAUAACAUUAACGCUUCACAUGGGUUUAUAAUAUUACUUGAAUGCCAACCAUUACCGUGAACUAUCCAUCAAGUUUGACAUUGAGUUGUAAAAUAAUGUUGGUUUAAACAAGUUGGUACCAAAGAUAAUUAAAAAGAAAAUUUAAAAAGGACUUUCCUGUUGAAUUGUAGAAAUUGAGCUCUCACUUGCAACAGCUUUUACCCAUAUAAUGCCAUAACAUAGCAAAACAUCACAAGGUGCUUAAUAAGAUUGUUGUUAAAAACAUUGAGAUUGUGCUGCGAGAGGAGAUAUUAGGACAGUGAGAGAGAGAGGCUUUAAGGAAUGAUUUUAAAAAGGAGGAAAGAAGCAGGAAUGUUGAGGGAGGGAAUUGCUUGAGUUUAGAGUCAAGACAACUGACGGUAUGGUUGCCAGUGGUUGGGUAAUUAUGUUCAUAGAGUCAUAAAGCAUGGAAACAGGCCCUUCAGCCCAACUGGUCCAUGCUGACCAAGAUGCCCCCAUCUAAGCUAGUCCCAUUUGCCUGUGUUUGGCUCAUAACCUUUUAAACCUUUCCAAUCCAUGUACCUCUCCAAAUGUCUUUUAAAAGUUGUUAUUGUACCUGCCUCAACCACUUCCUCUGGCAGCUCAUUCCACAUAGUUACCGCACUUUGUGUAAAAUAGUUGCCCCCUCAGGUUCCUAUUAAAUCCUUCCCCUCUCACCUUAAACCUAUGCCCUCUAGUUCUUGAUUCCCCAACCCUGGGAAAAAGACUGGGUACAUUCACCCUAUCUAUGCCCCUCAUGAUUUUGUACACCUCUGUAAGGUCACCUCUCAGUCUCCGAUGCUCCAAGGAAAAAAGUCCUAGCCUGCCCAGUGUCUCCGUAUAACUCAGUCCCUCAAGUCCUGCAACAUGCUUGUAAAUCUUUUCUGUGCUCUCUCCAGUUUAAUAACAUCUUUCCUAUAGCGGGGUGACCAAAAAUGAACACAAUACUCCCAGUGCAGCCUCACCAGCAUCCUGUACAACCGCACCAUGACCUCUAAACUUUUAUACUCAAUGUCUUGACUGUUACGGACUCAGUGAAAGUCCCUUUAAGAUAGGGAGUGUGUGUGUAUGUGUGUGUGGGGCGUGCUUACGUCAAUAGAAGAUAAAGGACGUAAUGACGUUGUUGAAGAAGUCAGAAGAAGAAGGAGAGAGAGAGAGAAGGGAGAGAGACACCAGCCUGCUUGUUUUCUCUAUCGUUGGAUGAGAAACAAUAACUGUGUUUGCCACUGAAAUCCAUGUAUGGAAGUUGGAAGUAAUCCGGUGGAGUUCACUUUGUUGCUGACCUGUAGAAGGAAACAGGUAUUUGUGUGUGGACGACCACGGUUCGGAUGCUUUCGGGGUGAGGAAGUCACUACCGAGUAAACACUGAAGUGUCGUUUGGGUUCCAUCGUGGAACAUUUGGAUUUCGUAUGUACUCUCUCUAUGUUUUUCUACAUCUACAUCUUAUCUUCAGACAACGGUGGUUGUUGAAGAAGCCCUUGCUCAUGUUUCACCUUAUGGCUUGCGGAACUGAACUUUAAGAACCAUUCUGGAACUGGGAGUUUUGGACUUUGUCACACACACACACACGAAGAGUUUAGUUUUGGGGUUAACGUUCGAGGUUUAACAUUCUUGA